CAAUCUGGAGUUUGCCAAAGCUAUGUAUUCCAACAGGAUCGUCAGUGGAAGCUUGCAGCCUCACUGUGGGCUGUGCUGCUAAUGGGGCCUCUUUCUAGCUUAGCUCCUUGGAACACAUUGAUGCUGGAUUCCCUUAUAGAACUUCCUAGGUCCGUCUCCUGAUUGUGUUUUCUCUAGUCCAACACAGGGUGGCACUCUUCAUUAAGUAAUCUGGCAGCUGUGUGGGAAGAUGUCUCCUGCGAACUCCUGUGACUCCAGGAAAAGGAAUUCUUUCCUUUUUCAUCUGGCCACAGAGAGGGGUGUAGAAGCACCUAGAGAAAACCCUCUGGAUUAAUCUGUCAGAGUUUCCAGAUUGGAAGACCCACCCUAAAUGGAUGGUGCUAUUUCAGGGGCUGUCCUUCCCCAACUGAAUAAAAAAGAGAAAGCAAGCUGAAUGAGUAUCAGCAUUCACCCUCUCUAUUCCCAACUGGAGAGAAAGUGUGACCAGCUGCCUCCAGCUCCUGACGCCAGGAUUUCCCCACCAUAAUGGACUGUACCCUCAAAUUGUGAGCCAGAGUAAACCCUCACUUCCUUACGUUGCUUCUGUCAAAGCCAUGAGAAAAAUAACUGAAUUGCAUGCCCACAAAUGCAA
rnacentral:lncRNA from 1 species